UACGAAGGGGGCUAGCGUUGCUCGGAAUCACUGGGCGUAAAGCGCACGUAGGCGGCUUUUUAAGUCAGGGGUGAAAUCCUGGAGCUCAACUCCAGAACUGCCUUUGAUACUGAGGAUCUUGAGUUCGGGAGAGGUGAGUGGAACUGCGAGUGUAGAGGUGAAAUUCGUAGAUAUUCGCAAGAACACCAGUGGCGAAGGCGGCGCACUGGCCCGGUACUGACGCUGAGGUGCGAAAGCGUGGGGAGCAAACAGG
rnacentral:rRNA from 1 species